CCGACGUCGACGACUUCACGCAGUCUAUCAGCAUCCCCACGCUUUUAUAAUCACGUUGCCUCACCACGUGUCAGCUCGAGUUUUUUAAAUAAAUUUCUCAGGGAUUAUACUAAUAUUUUUUUUUUUUUUUAACCAUGGAUUGAUUUCACUUCUCGCAGGGAAAAGAUGUUAUGCGCUUCAGUCCCUCGGAAUUGUUUAUUAUUUUUAAAUGCCACCCUCUAAGUGUAAAAAAUUUGAGAGUGAAAGGUGAGAUCCUUUAUUGGAUCGGGCAAUGAAGGAUGUGACAAUGCAGUGGAGUCCUGUUAAAAUUAUUAGGCUUGGAAUUUUUUUCCUUCUUGUUAUUGUUGGUUGCAGUGACGGGUAUCUUAAUAUUUUUAUCAGUCAGUCCCAAGUUAUGAAAUUAUUGGGUUUGGAAGCCGAAUUGUAUUACGUGCGAGAGGGCGUAGUGAAUGCAUACGCGAUGUCAUUUGUUGUUCCCGUUCCGGCGAACAUUGCAGACUUGGAAUUUUCUUGGCAGAGCUUGGCUGGCAUUCCUCUCCCGUACUCUAUGGAAUUAGAUUACGAUGUUGUGGGAGUGCAAGGUGGUAAUCCCGAGGCGGUGGCACUGCUACGACCGCAAGUAAAUGUCUCAGCCAAAGGCCAAGUUCCAACAACACUUCAAGUCUUUAGAAUACGUAUUCCAUGCUCGGGUUUACUUAGCGCUGAAAUACCGAUGGCGUUACGGCUCAAUAUUUCGGCGCCUCCUGGUACUAAGUAUAACGAUACUACUUUGGUGUUUAGAAGGAACAAAAUUUGUCUUAAAGGAGUUGAAGCGCCACCGAGUAACGACUCAAUUCGUUUAGAAGCCGGUCCCUUCAUAAAUGGUACAGGUGCAUUAUAUCUCGCAGCAACCUGCGCGUGUGCUUUUAUCCUUGUUGUCGGAAGUGUUGGCAGCGCUUUGUAUAUACGCAACAGCAAGGCUCGAGUGCAAGAAUCACAGAAAACACUGCCAUGCUGCAGCUACUCAGCAGCGGGCACGGGCGGACUGACCGGAAGUUCUGUGCUGGUAAGGGUGGACCCAAGGCCAGGAAGCGCCAAUUCCGGAAGUUACGCGACUAUUGCAGACCUUGAGCCUUUGUACGCGCGGCCCUGCGGUUCCAGAGCGAGUUAUUACGCAGCAAGUCACGUUACCAACAUAAGCCAGACAACCGACCCGUGUGAUAAAGCGAGAGCGAUGGCGAUCCCGAGAUCAGCACUCUAUUGCCGAAGUGUCAUUCAAGAAGGGACAUUCGGAAGAGUUUAUAAGGGUUCGCUGAACAUCGCCGGUCGAGAACAAGAAGUUAUCAUCAAAACGGUAACAGAAGUGGCAUCAGCUUACCAAGCCUCACUGCUGGUGGUGGAAGGCUCCCAAUUAGCGGGCCUAGUGCACGGGAACAUAGCGUCACUGGUGGCUGCAUGCCUGGACAAUCCAUGUCCGCUGUUGGCUUACGCGAGUUCACCCAGCGAGCUAAAUCUCAAGACCUACCUUACCGACGGGUUUCAUCAUCCAGUUACCCGCGAUUUGGUAAAUGUCGGUGUGCAGGUGUCUCGUGCUGGCGCUUUUCUACACGGCCGCGGUCUCUUGCACAGGGACAUUGCAACAAGAAACUGCUUAAUAGAGCCGAAUAACUUCCGAGUUCGUUUAGCAGACGCAGCAUUGGCCCGAGACCUGUUCCCCCAGGACUAUCAUUGUCUUGGUGACAAUGAAAACCGACCAAUUAGAUGGAUGGCUUUGGAAAGUCUCGAGCAUAAUCAAUACAGUACGGCUACCGAUGUUUGGUCUUUUGGCGUGUUCCUGUGGGAAUUGGCAACAAUGGGCGGGCAGCCCUACGUAGAGGUGGAUCCCUUCGAAAUGAUGGCCUGUCUGAGAGACGGCUACCGACUUGUUCAACCCCGCCCUUGUCCAGAUGAGCUUUUUGCCGUGAUGGCAGUCUGUUGGCUGGGAAUGGCUCGGGACAGGCCAACUAUGCCCCAGCUUCUUGCCUAUCUUCAGGAGUUCUACGACGCGCUCGGUGGAUUUAUCUGAGGUGUUUGCUGAAUAAUAGAUGCUAGUAAAUCAGAGAUAUAGAUAUGAGUUGGGACUGGAGAUAUCUAGUCAGCUCAAGAUUGAUAUGGACAAUUAAAAAUUUUUAAUUACAUUUUAUGUACUGAUAUUUUGAAGCCAGGAAUGUUAACUUUCAGGGUCGAAUAUUUUUUUUUAGUUUUUUAGGGGAGCAAUGAGUGGAGUAGAAGUCGGAAAAGCGGGCGCAGGA
rnacentral:misc_RNA from 1 species